UCUCCUUUCAGGGAACGUCAUGCAGAUAAUCAAAGGUCAGUUCCUGGUCAACAUAAGUAAACAAGCUUAUUUAAGGCCUUACACUGUCUUUGGCUUGGAGAUGGGGUUUCACCAAGGACCUGCCCCUAUCUGCCUAGGCAUUUGGCUGCCUCCUGCCUCUCUCACUACAAGCUGGAAACCCCAAGAAAAUGGAUUAUCCCCUAUAAUGUCCAGAAAGAAACACAGUCCAGCAGACACCUGAGCUUUAGGCCAAUGAGCUCUGUGCAACACUUCUUCUGCCUUUCAGAAUUGUCUCUCUAUUCCCUGAGAAAAACCAAUCCUGAAAUUAGGCCGGUUAAUAACCCAACAACAGCCUGCCUGUGUUCAAGUGAAAGAAGAGUUGGAUGUCUCUCACUUUUAAUCAGAAGCUAGAAAAGAUUAAGCUUAGUGAGGAAAGCAUGUUGAAAGCCAAAAUAGGCUUAAAUCUAGACCUCUUAUGCCAAACACUUACCCAAGUUGUAAAACCAAACAAAAACUGUUUGAAGGACAUUAAAAGUGAUACUCCAGUGAACACACGAAUGAUAAGAAAGCAAAACAGUCUCCUUGGUGAUAUGGGGAAAGUUUUAGUGGUCUGGAUAGAAGAACAAACCAGCUACAACAUUCCCUUAAACUGAAGCCUAACACAGGGCAAAGUUCUGACUCUCUUUAAUUCUAUGAAGGCUGAGAGAAAUGAGGAAGUUACAAAAGAAAAGUUGGAAGCUAGCAGAGGUUAAUUUAUGAGGUUUAAGGAAAGAAGCCAUCUCCAGAACUUAAAGGUGCAAGGUGAAGCAGCAAGUGCUGAUGGAGAAGCUCAAGCAAGUUAUCCAGAAGAUCUAGCUAAGACCAUUGAUGAAGGCUACAUUAAACAACAGAUUUUCAAUGUAGACAAAACAGCCUGCUAUUGUAAGAAGAUGUCUUCUAGGACCUUCAUAACUAGAGAGAAGUCAAUGCCUGGCUUCGAAGCUUCAAAGUACAGGCUGAUGCUUCUGUUGGGAGCUAAUGCAGCUGGUGACUUUAUGUUGAAGCCAAUACUCCAUUCUGAAAAUCCUAGGGCCCUUAAGAAUUAUGUUCAAUCGACUCUGCCUGUAUUCUAUAAAUGAAACAACAAAGGCUAGGUGACAGGACAUGUGUUUACAGCAUGCUUACUGAGUGUUUUAGGCCUGUUGUUGAGACCUACUGCUCAGGAACAAAAAGAUUCCUUUCAUAUUACUGCUCAUUGACAACGCACCUGGUCACCCAAGAGCUCUGAUGGAGAUGUACAAGGAAAUUAAUGUAGUUUUCAUGCCUGCUAAUACAACAUCCAUUCCACAGCCCAUGGAUCAAAGAGUAAUUCUGGUUUUAAAGUUUUAUUAUUUAAGAAAUACAUUUUGUAAGGAUAUAGGUGGCUUAGAUGGUGAUUCUUUUGAUGGAUCUGGGUAAAGUAAAUUGAAAGCCUCCAGAAAGCAUGCACCUUUCAAGAUGUCAUUAAGAACAUCUAUGAUUCACAGGAGGACCAAAUAUCAACACUAACAAGAAUUUGGAAGAAGAUGAUUCCAACUCUCAUGCAUGACUUUGAGGGAUUCAAUACUUCAGUAAAGGAAGUAACUGCAGAUGUGGUAGAGAUAGCAAGAGAACUAGAAUUAAGAGUGGAGCCUGAAGAUAUGACUGAAUUGCUUAAAUUUCAUGUUAAAACUGUAACAGAUGAGAAAAAUUGCAUCUUACGGGUGAACAAAGAAAAUGGUUUCUGAGUUGGAAUCUACUCCUGGGGAAGAUGCUAUGAACAUUGAUGAAGUCACAACAAAUAAUUUACAAUAUUAUAUAAAGUGAAUUGAUAAAGUAGCUGCAGGGUUUUACAGGAUUGACUCCAAUUCUGAAAUAAGUCCUACUGUGGGUAAAAUGCUAUCAAACACCAUGCAUGCUACAGAGAAAUUUUUUGUGUAAAGAAGAGUUGGUCUACGUGGCAAACUUCACUGUGGUCUUAUUCCACAAAAUUGCCACAGCCACCACCCUGAUCAGUCAACCACCAUCAACAUCUAGGCAAGACCCUCCAUCAGCAAAAAUACUAUGAUUGGCUGAAGGCUCAGAUGAGCAUUAGCAUUCUUUUAGCAAUAAAGGGAUUUUUAAAAUUAA